rnacentral:rRNA from 1 species
UACAGAGGGUGCGAGCGUUAAUCGGAAUUACUGGGCGUAAAGCGCACGUAGUCGGCUUUGCAAGUCGGUUGUGAAAUCCCCGGGCUCAACCUGGGAACUGCAUCCGAGACUGCAUUGCUAGAGUAUAGGAGAGGAAAGCGGAAUUUCUGGUGUAGCAGUGAAAUGCGUAGAUAUCAGAAGGAACAUCAGUGGCGAAGGCGCUUUCUGGACCAAUACUGACGAUCAGGUGCGAAAGCGUGGGGAGCAAACAGG